AAAUGCGAUAAGUAGUGUGAAUUGCAGAAUUCAGUGAAUCAUCGAAUCUUUGAACGCACAUUGCGCCCCUUGGUAUUCCAUGGGGCAUGCCUGUUCGAGCGUCAUUUGUACCCUCAAACUCUGCUUGGUGUUGGGUGUUUGUCCCCGUCUCCGCGCGUGGACUCGCCCCAAAGUGAUUGGCAGCCGGCGUACUGGUCCCGGAGCGCAGCACAUGUCGCGCAAACGAGUGCCUUGGUACGGCGGCGUCCAUAAGCCCCUCUCUCACGCUCUUGACCUCGGAUCAGGUAGGGAUACCCGCUGAACUUAAGC
rnacentral:misc_RNA from 1 species